rnacentral:SRP_RNA from 1 species
GCUGGGUGUGGUGGCGGGCACCUGUAAUCCCAGCUACUCAGGAGGCUGGGACAGGAGAAUUGCUUGAACUCAGGAGGCGGAGGUUGCAGUGAGCCGAGGUCACGCCACUGCACUUCAGCCUGGGUGACAGAGUGAGACUCCGUCUCAA